AGAUGGCAGCAUGGCAGUGCCGCUGUGAGCGGGCCCGCCGCGCUCCUCCCGUGAGGCGCUGCUGCUCGCUUCCUGCGCGCGUCGGCUGAGUUUCAGGCAGUUGGGAGAGAGCGGGCGUUGUGUUUUGCCGCCGUCUCCUGGAUCUCGCUGUAUUGUUAUUUAUUUGUUUGUUUUUCAAACGAAGGCUUCCUGUGGAGAGCAAAGCAAAAUGAUUGGUGCUUCAGUUCUUUGGAAAGAAAGCAAAAUAUCAGAGGGAAAUUCUUUAUAGAAAAGAAGAAGUGGCUGUAUCACUUGUUAGGUGUCCAGUGGACAUUUAGCAGGCGACUUCCACUGUCUUGGGAUAUCUUCUUAAUCAUACUUAUUGUGCUAGCCAAGAUCCAUCACUGUGCUGCAUGGAUUCAGGGUUGGAGAGUCAAGGGUAUAUUUUUCAGCCUCCAAGAAGAGCUUAUUUUAGUAUUUGUGGGGUACAAUCUGAAAACAAGGAUUUAGCUUGCAUUCAAAAUGAGCUACUGGAGCAAAUUUAGACACUGAUUUUCUUGAGAUCUGCAAUUUGUUCCAUGAAAGCCAACAUUAUGACCAGCAGUCAUGCCUGUAAAGGGAAAGCUGAUCACCUGAUAAUGUGCUGCAAUGUCUGUAGCCCUGAGAAGUAUAGGUCUUAACAUCUCCAUUUUCUAAGCAGAGACACAUGAAAUUUCAUUGUGCACUGGGAAUGUGGACAAUGCGCAGUAACAAAGACGAAGAGCAGAUGCUCACACUACCCAGACUUGAGGCCUGUGAUAUUUACAGUCAAGCUCUUCAGAGGACCACUCAGUGUCAGCCCCAUGAAUCCUGGUAGAAUAAAUGCUUUCUGAUCUCCUCAUACACUGUUAGCAGCUUUUUCGUAGUUUAGGUCUAAGGGCCAUUGGAUCAAGACACAAGAACCACACAACAGCAGUAGACUUCAAUAAAUAUUACAGGAUGGUCAGCGUGGAGGCAUCCAGGUGAUAGAGCAGCACUGCAGGACAGCUUCUCCCCAUCCCAGCAUGUAGAGUGCUGUGAAUCAGCAAGAGUUAAUGUGAAGAACAUCCUCUCCCCCAUCCCUGUGUUAAAUCUGUGCCUGCCAGCUAUUGCAUUUCUCAGUUUCUCGUAGUACCUCUAUGGCUUGCUGAAGGUCAAAAUAUUGUCAACACAUGGUGGUGAACAAUGUGUGUUAGCUUGUAUGGUUGUUUGUUGCAGGGGUGUUUGUUUGCUUUUUUGCGUAGCAUAAAAUGCUUAAAUGUGAUGUUUUGCUCACUUAUGGCUAGUGCUUUUGUACUUGCUUUAUAUGGUUACCUGACUUAUUUUCCAUCUGUUUCCUCACAUCACUUUCAACUGGCUUAAUCCUACUGCCUGAUUGUGGCACCUUCCACGAUGCAGUGUAAUUAACCACAGGCAACUAUUCAACAUAUUAGAGAUGAAAGCAACAUAACGUGUUUUCUCUGGCUUUGUGACAUGUGAAGGCCAAAAGAACAGCUUUAUUCCCUCCAAAGCUUCUCUACCAUUCUUUGGUGUGUGAUUGGACUAUUUUUAGAUGGCCUUGUAGGUAUGCAGAUAUACCUAGGACACCUUGCAAUAAUACUGCUUUGGCCCCAUAAAUCAGCUUCUCCACGCUGAAAAGAGGGGAAUGUUGGCAGCUGGUUAACAUGUAGCAGAAGAAAUUAAAUGCCUCUGACAGUAAUUGCCUGAAGAAAAUUCAGAAGAUGAGAUAGCAACAACACAGCAGACACAAAAUAACUAGAUUAGGAGCACAAUAGCCAUAUGUCAACAUAAUACUAAGAAAACAGUGCUUAAAAUGGCGAGGUCAGAACCUUUGCCAAGAGCCUGACAUGUGCUUGCCAAACUAGUUUUGUAUGAGAAUGUAGUGUGUGGAAAAGGUGCAAAAACCAGCCCUCCCUCUUCAGGUUUGAAAUCUCUGUGUGUCCAACUGAGAUUGAUUACUGAAAUUGAUGAGGAAUAUUAAUGGGGGCGGGAAAUGUUAAAAAUGAAAAACAAUUCUUUUUCCAUUUCUCAGUCUACUUAGAACUAAAUGAUGCUAAUAAAACAAGCUAUAGUUGGCUAACGAAGUAAUUUUUCCCCAUGUAAAUCUUGACUCUUAAAACGUUUGUGUUGCAUUAUGAUCUCUCCCUCUCUACACCUAAAAUGAGUAAUAAAAUGGGGUGGCUUGC
rnacentral:lncRNA from 7 species